UACGAAGGGGGCUAGCGUUACUCGGAUUGACUGGGCGUAAAGGGCGCGUAGGCGGUUUGUCCAGUCAGACGUGAAAUUCCUGGGCUCAACCUGGGGGCUGCGUUUGAUACGUGCGGACUUGAGUUCGGAAGAGGGUCGUGGAAUUCCCAGUGUAGAGGUGAAAUUCGUAGAUAUUGGGAAGAACACCGGUGGCGAAGGCGGCGACCUGGUCCUUGACUGACGCUGAGGCGCGAAAGCGUGGGGAGCAAACAGG
rnacentral:rRNA from 1 species